CUUUUACUAAACGUUCACAUGUUCGCAUGAGAGUCCCUGAGAACUGAGAAGGGUCAACCCCAUAGUCCCUCCAGCCACCGACACCAUCUGCUACUCCGAGCACAUCUGCCGUGCGGUGCCGGGCCACAAAGCAGGCGUCAUCCCCGUAGCACAUGCCUUUCUUGAGGAUCCCCUUGCGGAAAUCUUUGCCAAAGCCACAGCUGGCCGUCACCAAGCUGUAGUCACGGGUGUCGGUCUGCGAGAGGCCGCCCAGCACUGCCCGGGCCACCAGCCUGCCAUAGGACAGCACCGAGAACAUGGCGUGGGGCGCCCAGCAGCCCAAGGCCAGGAACGCGGGGAGCCACCGGCGCAGCCGCCUCCUGCAGCGAGCCAGCCUUCCUGCUGCCCGCCGGCCGGCCGCCUCCACGCCUCUGGGCCUCAGCGCCUCGACACCUCAGGAUCUCUGGGCCUCAGCCCC
rnacentral:lncRNA from 1 species